UACGUAGGGUGCAAGCGUUGUCCGGAAUUAUUGGGCGUAAAGAGCUCGUAGGCGGCCUGUUGCGUCCGCUGUGAAAUCCCGGGGCUUAACCCCGGGCUUGCAGUGGAUACGGGCAGGCUGGAGGCAGGCAGGGGAGAACGGAAUUCCCGGUGUAGCGGUGAAAUGCGCAGAUAUCGGGAGGAACACCGGUGGCGAAGGCGACUUACUGGACUGUAACUGACGCUGAGGCAUGAAAGCGUGGGGAGCAAACAGG
rnacentral:rRNA from 1 species